rnacentral:rRNA from 1 species
CGCCUUGCCAGCCCGCUCAGAAACUCAAAUGAAUUGACGGGGGCCCGGCACAAGCGGUGGAGCAUGUGGUUUAAUUCGAUGAUACGCGAGGAACCUUACCUGGGCUCAAAUGUAUGUUGACGUAUUCUGAAAGGGAUACUUCUUCGGACAAUAUACAAGGUGCUGCAUGGUUGUCGUCAGCUCGUGCCGUGAGGUGUCGGGUUAAGUCCCGCAACGAGCGCAACCCUUGCCUUUAGUUGCCAGCAGUUCGGCUGGGCACUCUAAAGGGACUGCCGGUGUUAAACCGGAGGAAGGUGGGGAUGACGUCAAGUCCUCAUGGCCUUUAUGACCAGGGCUACACACGUACUACAAUGGCCGAUACAAAGGGCAGCGACACUGCGAGGUGAAGCCAAUCCCGUAAAAUCGGUCUCAGUCCGGAUUGGAGUCUGCAACUCGACUCCAUGAAGUUGGAAUCGCUAGUAAUCGUGGAUCAGCAUGCCACGGUGAAUACGUUCCCGGGCCUU